rnacentral:rRNA from 1 species
UCGAGAAUUUUUCUCAAUGGGCGAAAGCCUGAAGGAGCGACGCCGCGUGGGGGAUGAAUGGCUUCGGCCCGUAAACCCCUGUCAUUUGCGAACAAACUUUUCCAUCUAAUAAGUGGAAAAUUGAUAGUAGCGGAAGAGGAAGGGACGGCUAACUCUGUGCCAGCAGCCGCGGUAAUACAGAGGUCCCAAGCGUUGUUCGGAUUCACUGGGCGUAAAGGGUGCGCAGGUGGUGAGGCAAGUUCGGUGUGAAAGCUCCAGGCUCAACCUGGAAAUGGCACUGAAAACUGCUUUGCUUGAGGUUUGGAGGGGGGACUGGAAUUCUCGGUGGAGCAGUGAAAUGCGUAGAUAUCGAGAGGAACACCAGUGGCGAAGGCGAGUCCCUGGACAACACCUGACACUGAGGCACGAAAGCCGGGGGAGCAAACAG